rnacentral:rRNA from 1 species
UACGUAGGGGGCAAGCGUUGUCCGGAAUCAUUGGGCGUAAAGCGCGUGUAGGCGGUCCGGUAAGUCGGCUGUGAAAGUCCAGGGCUCAACCCUGGGAUGCCGGUCGAUACUGCCGGACUAGAGUUCGGAAGAGGCGAGUGGAAUUCCCGGUGUAGCGGUGAAAUGCGCAGAUAUCGGGAGGAACACCAAUGGCGAAGGCAGCUCGCUGGGACGUUACUGACGCUGAGGAGCGAAAGCGUGGGGAGCGAACAGG